rnacentral:rRNA from 1 species
UACGUAGGGUGCGAGCGUUAAUCGGAAUUACUGGGCGUAAAGCGUGCGCAGGCGGUUUUAUAAGCCAGAUGUGAAAGCCCCGGGCUCAACCUGGGAAUGGCAUUUGGGACUGUAAGGCUGGAGUAUGGCAGAGGAGACUAGAAUUCCUGGUGUAGCAGUGAAAUGCGUAGAUAUCAGGAGGAAUACCGAUGGCGAAGGCAGGUCUCUGGGCCAAUACUGACGCUCAUGCACGAAAGCGUGGGGAGCAAAC